ensembl:lncRNA
AUGCACAGAAGAGAAAAUUUUGACCAGAAAUAACACCUAGAACCACAGAUUCUCCCCUUGAUGGAACCAAAGGACUGGGGAAGAACCAGAACUUGAAAGCUAGACUCUCUUCAGAAUAAAGAGGUCUCUUUCCUAGGAAGAUCCUGUGUUAAAAUCCUUUCCACAUCUUACCAUCAAAGUUUAAAGCCCUCCAGGUCAACUUCACAAUAAAGUCUUUUCUCGAAAGCUUGUGCCAUGGUGUCAGCUUCUGUGCAUACCAGGUGAUGAGCACUUGCGCAGUAAAAAUUUCUGGUGACCAGGAAGGGACUCGGUCCCGUGACCACCAGCCUGAAGCUCUUGAGCCCCCAGCAGACUGUGCAGUCUCUUCACUGACAGUAAGUGACCACCUAGAGGCUUGGCUGAACAGAUUCCUGUUUCCCUCCUUGGUACUAUAGGCCUAUGAGUACUAUUUUUCUACUUUUGAAAGAAGAAACAGCUUCUGGACCAAGACUUCUCUGGGUUCGGGUCUCUUGGAUAUGGAGAUGUGUAAAUUACAGAACUCUAACAGAGAAAAUUAUGGCUUCAUGAAACUGCUAACAGAAGAUCAAAAUCAAGAAUUGAUUACAUGGGACUGAAUGAACUGAUGAGGAUGAUUAUAAUUUAUAUGAUUUUUUGUUUAAAAUAUUGUUGAAUUUGUUUUGUUUUUCCAGAUUGAAGGAAACUUCUCUUUUCUUUUAAGCUAAAUAUGACUUACAGCAAUUUGGUAUAUUAUGCGUAUGUAAGUCGAAUUGAAAUCUUUAUCUUUUUCUCCCUAAAUGAUCCCUGCCUAAUUUGAAAACUCUUGAUGAAUGAGUAUGCUUGUUUUUGUGGCAAUAUAGUUAAUUGCAUAGUUUCAAUAAGAACCUAUUCUCCUUAUAACAGAGCACAAUUGGAAAAAUUGGUUAUAUUACCAGGUUUUGACUGGAAUGUCUUAUUUGAGAGAAACCUGCAUAGACUCAAGUAUAACCAAACAGCUUUAAGGAACAAAUAAACCCACUUGGAAUUUGGCCUCGUACCUUGCUUACAAGAUUCCUUGGAACCUUACCAGAUGAGUAAAGAAGGUCACUUCCUGCCAGGUACAAGAACCUCAGGAUAUUUGAGGAACCUCGAGAAGAGAGGAAUUCACUCAAAUGUAUAGGUAUUGCAGACAGAGGCUGGUGACAAGUCCUUGGCUUGGCUUUCCUGGCCAUGAGAGGUCUUUAAAGUUCAGUCUGAGAUUCCUUAUAAAAAGUUCCAGCAAAGCAGAUUUAAAAGAGCCUAUACGACCAACCACUAUUCUUGCAGUACUUAUGUAAAUAAUUGGGCCAAGUUUUUUGAAGUGACCUAUUUUGCAAACCAAUUAGUCUUGAUUUGACUAUCCUUGGUAAAAAUGAGGGUGAUUUUAGAGAGAAAAAGUUUGUUUCAAUAGAAACUAUAAUACACAUUUGUGGAUAUAAGUUUCUAGUUCUAUUAAUUGUCUUUGAGGGGUUUUUUUUCCACCUGUAAACUGGACUGGAUCCUGAAUUCUUCUCGUCUCCUGAAAUAUUCAGCUACAAAUCUCGAAGCUAACACUUUCAAUUUUUCCAUCUGUUUCAUUUUGGAUCAUUGAGAACUGAAACUACACUUUUUCCUGAAGCUCUGCAGACUAAAUAUGGCUAAGUUGAUAUAAACUUAAGUGUCGUUACCAUGAUAGCCCAUAUUUACAGAAUAGUCAUGCCCAUUGCUAUGUGAGCCACUUAGACGGAUACCUGAACAUGUGACGACAUCAUAAGAGACAUUUCAAACUUCUAGAGAUUCUUUGAUCCUGAAAUCUAUAAAUUUUCUUGAUGGCUGUGGCCUGGGCUCAGGAAUUGUUUUAUAAUGUGAUCCAACCAUUAACUUCGUGUUUCUUUCUGUUUCUGUAAAAGUAUUUCUUAUUAAGUACCUAGUUACUUGCUCACACUGUAUAGUCUAACAUUGGGAGUCCACCUGCAUCACCACCUUCUCAAAUGAAUUUCACUAGACCCACCUAUCAUCAGGAACAAGAAACUGGUUCACUGAGAUGGAACAACCUAUGCCUCUUAGCAGCAGGAAGUAGUUAGUGGGGUCAUCACCCCAUUUCCCUCAAGAAUGAGGAAUAAACAAAAUGGGGGAUUUGUAUGCACAGGCUCUCUAGGACCAGUUCAAACUGACCUCACUUUGUCAACAGAAAGUUAAAGUUGUUUUUCAGGGGCAAACUGAAAAAAAUGCAAUUCGUGUAGUAGGAACGUGCACAAAGGGGAAUGUCUUGACCUGAGCUAACACCGGGAAGCAAAGAUUCUCCUCCCCAUGGAAACAAAGGGCCAGGACACAACUGGAACUCAAAGCUGGACUCUUAUUAGAAGCAAAGAGCCCAUUUUCUAGGAAGAUCCAGUGUUAAAAACCCUUCCACAGCUUACGAUCCAUGCUUAAAUUUCUCCAAUCAAUACCUGCCCAGGAAGUGCUUCCACAUACAAGUCUGUCCCUCAUAAUCUCUUAAAUUUUGCCCCAAGCCCUGGACUUGGAAGACAGAUUUCAGAGCCUUGCCUCCUGUCUCUUUGUUGGUCCACCUCACCAAAAUCCUUUUCUUUUCUCAAAAGCUGGCCCCAUGAUGUUGGCUUCUGUGUGCAUCAGGUGGUGAGCUCUUUCUGAGUAACAGAAACAUCCCUACACCCCAAACAGCAAAAGGAAAAGAGAAGAGGCGAGAAGAGGAGACAAGCUGAGAAGAGAGGAGAGAACAGGAGAGGGACAGAAUGACGUUGUGUGUUGAAGUACAAUUGUGUUUUGGCUCCAAUGGCCUUGAAAAAGUUUUUUUCAGUUUUGUUACAAACCCAUCAUGCCAUCUGCAGGGAACUGGUUAAAUGGACUUGGCACAUCCACACAAAGGAGUAUUUUGCAACCUUAGAAAGAGAGGAAUGUUUACAACUACUUAUAGAAGACAGUAAAUAGCCCUGAAUUUCUUGGUGAACUGAGCUCAUCUCCAAAAGCAGAAGAGAUGUAGUGAAGCGUGGGCUCCACCUGGUGGUGACAUCGGAAAAUCACAAGCAUGGAUCCUGGAGCAGUGAUUUCGGAAGUGUAUGGACCUGCUGCCACUUCUUUAGAGAGGGGAGUAUCAGUGCAUUCCUGAGAAAUGUGUAUGUGUGUGCAUCUGUGUCUACUACUUCAAGCCCGGGAUAUGUGUAUAUCGGUUUUCUCUCUCCUGACCUUUAGAAGAAUGUGUUUUGUGCUUGGAACAGAUCUUAACCGCUCACUGUUUUCAGUAUGACUUCUAUGCAGAAAAUUCCCAAAUCCAAACAUUAACUUCCUUUGUAUGCUUCAGGCAUAGGAGUUAGGUAUGCACAUCCUCUUGGAUUCAGAGUUUUGAUGUCAAAUGCUCCACUUCUAAAGUUAAGUCUCAUCUUCACCACAAACCUGCUUCUUUAGCCCUAACAUUCAGUCAAUUAAGUAGGCUUGACACUUGGGGGUCACAUGUACACAGCACUGCUUUUUUUUCCCUCCUUUUUCCUUUCAAUAGGCUCUGUCUUAGUCCAGAACUUGGUUCUUUUAUUAUCAUAUUGAUAUAUUGAUGGAUUCUCCUUGCUUUUGUAAUAUGCUGCAGCUACAAUCCCAUCCAGUAAGCAGUCAAGUUAUUCUUCCUAAAAUACCACUAUUAACACAUUCUCCCAAAUUUGUAGUGAUAAUUUAGCCCAAUAAAAAUACUUGCUCUCUAUCAGGCACUGUGCUCAUUCUUUUAGAUUUACUACCUCUAAUCUCACAACAACUUAGCAAGAAGGGUGUGUUCAAUUUGGAGGGGGAAAACGAAGUUUAGAAAAUUAGCCAUUUGGACUAUCAAACAUGGAAUAAGUGAUAGAGCCAAGUUUAAAAGACCUGAGCUGAGAUUGCUAACAAUCUCAGGUUCUUCAAACUGCACAAGAGUAACUUCUUCUGUAUGGGAUAAUUUCAUACUCUGUUAACUUAGCAUCCAAGGAAUUCCAUAACAUAGCUCCCACCUUCCUUUCAAGCCUGAACUUGUACCAUCUCCAAUGGAAACCAUUUGCUCCACUCUCUCUAGUCUAUUACCACUUCUAUAUAUACCAUAUGCAUUCUCAUCUCUGUUCCGUCUUACGUUCUGUGAUGUACCUGGAAUCACACUACCUAUAUUUCAGGUAUGUUCCCUUAGACUCAUGCCAGGAACUCCGGGCUAGACUGGUGGGGAAGAGAAGGGUAUUUAGGGGCUGGGCAUAGAGACCAAUGUGGAUGUUGAGUGAAUUGGAAUCAGACUUGGAUCUGCAUGCCAACUUACCCAUUCAGUCUUGCACACCCUAAACCUCUUCAGACUAUUUAGCCCUCUCUGGCUUCCAGUAGGGUUCUGUAGCAAUGAUUAUACAAAGGGGGAACCUACUGCUGUCUAGGACACAGGAAGAUAGCAGGUGCCAUCAAAUAAUUAUAAUACCCAGAGUCAGACCAGAGGUACUAUCACGGUUCCCAAUGAUCUGACUCGAUAGUGUGGAAUCCAAGCUAUUGGAAGGCAAGACCACAAUCCCAGGGAGCCAGGAACAACUACACAGAUUGAAGAGCCUUUAAGAAUUUAAGAUGAGUGGGUAAGUUGACAUGCAAGUCAGAACCUGAGGUGAGGGUGGUGGGAAGGAUAAAGGAUGCCAUAUGUUAAUACCUGUGUGUACCCCCACCUCCCUCCCUCUCAGGAUCCACUAGAAAUCAGACAAAGGACAACAAGAGCAGUUCUAGACCCUGCUGCUGGUUGACUUGAGUCUGUAGAUAUACAUUGGUCAGUGGUGGUUCACUGAACCAGCCAGUUCCCGUGCAUUAGAAGAUCUAGGUAAAGGCAGCAUCUAAUAUCAUCCUUCCUUUCAGUCCAUAUCAUUUAUUAAUUUUUCAAACAUAAUUGAAGACUAAACUCUUAUGUGAAAUAUUUUCUUACAUGGCAUCUCAGAGACUUCUCUACCAGCUCUACAUAUCUAAGCCAUGACAAGUGCAGACUGGGUUUUGUUACUUAUAAAUGGCUCCCACUAUAGAUAUUUAUUCUUCAACUUACAUUGUUCAUUAACUUUAUACAUCUCUAUGGCUUGAGAGUCAAAAACAAUCUAGUAUGAAGGUCAGACAAAAAAACACAUGAUGAUAAAAUAAUGUGAUGUGAACUAUGGCAGAUUAAUGUCCAGGUUGUUAUGGGAAGUCAAAGAAGAUGCCUUGUGUUGUUUGGGGUGGGGGUAGUUUCUUCAGAUUAGUUUUUCAGGUCUCCAAACAUAAAAUUACUGAAUCAAAGAAUGUUCUCAUUACUUUCCAAAAGGAUUGCAAAAACCUUGACAACAUUUAAUACCACCAUAGGCAUUUUUUGUGUCAAGCUCUCCUCUCCUUCCUGGACACAUGGACAAUUACAGUCCCCUGCACUUAGGUGGGGACACAGUCUAGUUCUCAUCAAUGGACAGGGAUCUGAAGGAUCACCCAUUGGCUGUGGUAGUGAAUAGCUCUUAUUCAAAUUUUAGUCUCUUUCUUCCCCAUGUUGAGGCUAUAUACUGAGAUGCUGGAGGCACAAGAUCAAAGAAGCCUGCAUGGUUGAGUUCCCAUGUGGAAGAGAGUAGACCUAAUGUCUGGUCUGAGCUAGGCUAACACUGCAUGAAAAGAAAUAAUUCCUGUCUUAAGUCACUGAUAUUUAGAUGACACGUAUUACCAUGCAUAAGUUUACUCUGUCUUAAUACAGGACUGAUGCUUAGUAUUGUUUUGCUCCUUUGGCCUAUAACACAAUUCUUUGUUAUUCAUACUUAUGUGGUCAAUAAUAAAGAAAUUAUUCAUAAAUCUUUGCUGAAGCAGCAUCCAAUAAGAAAAAUGAAUGGAUCCUUUGCCUCCUUCUCAGAAAUGAGAGACUGACAGGAAUGUGGCAUGUGAUGAUUUGUAUGAAUGUUAGGUGGUUCUAGGAGACAGAAACCUUAAUAAACAAUGACAUUCAUGUAAACAGAAGUUUUUGUUUUGUUUUGUUUGAGGAAGAUUGGCCCUGAGCUAACAUCUGUGCAGUCUUCCUCUAUUUUAUGUGGGAUGCUGCUACAGUGUAGCUUGAGAGCAGUGCUAGGUCUGCCUGGGUUCUGCAACUGUGAACUCUAAGCUACCAAAGCAGAGCAUGUGAACUUGACAACUACACCACCAGGCCGGCCGCAACAGUUAUUUUUUAAUGUGCUAAAUCCAACUGACAGUGGCAGCCAGAAGGAUACGUGGAGAAGAGGGAUCAGAGGGAACAUAUCUGAAAGGGUAUGUGGUUGCAUGAAUGUCAUGUAAUUGUGAUUCAUUUUUUUAAAAUUCUCCCUCAAUAUUUCCCGUCAAAUUCUCUGAAAAUGACAAAAACAAACAAAAAAUAUUGGCAGCAGCCGAAAUCAACACAAAUGCAGUAUAUUUGCACGUCUAUACCAACCUGUUAAGCAGCAGAAUGGUUCCCUUCAGGUGAAUCACUACACAGAACCAGAGUUCUGUGUUUACACAAACAAAUUAAAAGUGCAGGUGCUCUGAUUAAAGUAGAGGGAGGGGAACCAGACAUCUGCUUGCUCCAUGUCCUGAUUGCCCCCAUCCACCUGGAUGAUCUCUACAGACACUAGAGAAGUCAGUAUCUCUGCACGACCAUGACAACAUUUAUAAAACAUCUAUAAUAUGGUUCUCCAUCUUUACCACAUGACUCAUGAGCUAUCAGAGCAUUGUCAUCCCACUUUAAAGCUUCUCUAACUUAUUUUUCAGAGUAUCUGAGAGAGUCUCAUACGUGAUUAUGAACUGUAGUUUGUUGGUGGUCAGCCCUUGUGGCUGACUGAAUUUUCCUAAGAUGGCUGUAACAAUAUAUUUUAUCCCAUAUACUCAUAAAAUAUGGAAUCGAGACGCCUUCCAUCAAGUGAUAGGGAUUAUGACCUCUCCCCUUCAACAUGGAUGGUACUUCAUUAUAGAAGUGAUGCUAUGUGACUCCUAAGGCUACUUCAUGAAAAUGCACAUACUUCCUCCUAGUUUCCUAGAGAUGUUUGCUCUUGGAACCUAAUCACCAGCUAUUGGAAAGUGCAGGCAACAUAGGAGGGCCUUAUAUGAUUCUUCUGGCUGACAAUGCUGCUGAUCUGCUGAUAUCCAGCAUCAACUUUCAGACAUGUGAUUGAGGAAGACGUCCCGAUGACUUCAGCUGCAGCCACCAAUCUGACUGCAAUCACAUGAGAGACCUGGAGCAAGAACAACUUCUAGAACCAAGCCCAACAAACUUCUAGAACCACGAGAGAUAAUAAUAAAAUGAUAGCUAUUGCUUUAUUUUAAGCCACUAAGCUUGGGUUGACACUUUUUUAUAUACAGCAAAGGUAAAGUCCAUUUAUUCUAAAUUAUUUAUUAAGAGCCUACAAGGGGCAAGGCACAGUUUCAGGUACAGGAGAGCAGUAGUGAAUAAAUAAAAUCUCAUAGAGAUAACAUUCUAGUUUAGGGAGACAGACGAUAAAUACAAAAAUGUCACUUGUUCUUUCUCACUAGCCAUAGGGUAAAGAUCUAUCUUUUUUCCCUAGAUUUAUUGACAUAUAAUUGACAUAUAACAUUACGUAAGUUUAAGGUGUACAGCAUGCUGAUUUGAUACACAUAUAUUGCAAAAUGAUUACCACCAUAGCAUUAGCCAAUAUACCCAUCCAGUCACAUAAUCAUUAAUAAGAAUCUAUCUCUUUUAUUUUUUUAUUAUUUUUUACUUUUUUAGCUGUGGGUCCUUCCAGUUGUGCCAUGUGGGAUGCCGAAUAAGAAUCUAUCUUAAAGUCACCUGUUUGUUCCCUGACCUAAGUUUAGAAAUCUACUUCAUGAAGCCAUCCACAUCUGCACUGGAAUAUUACUAGAAUUUGUUAGUUGUAAGUCUCAUUGGCUGGGACUGGUAAUGUCAGUUUCUUCUGAGAAGAACAGUGCCAAAGAUUCUUAAUGAGUAAUUUUGAUCUGGAAGAAAAUUCGUUGUUAUAACAUAAGGGAUUUUAUUAGAUUAAACAGAAAAAAAUACAAAGAAGUAUAAGGUACUAUAUUUUGUAAAGAUCAAAUGUUCUUGAAUAUCCUUUGUUAAAUAAAUCGUGUCAGUAAAAAUCAUUGUGCUAAAUCAUAAGAAAUUAAAUAUGAAUUGGCCAGCAAAACAGAUGUAGGUUAACAAGAUGGCUGGACACACAGGCAUGAGAAGAGAAAGUGUUUAGUUUUUAUAUUCUCGUCACUGAGAAAGAGUGGAAAUGGAAUGGAAUUGGAGUGGGCAAUGAUGGAGAUACUAUGGGAAAAAUUUGUGCAUAAACGUUAAGAAGUCUAGUCUGUCAUUUCACACCCUUUUAUCGUUUCAAUUUUCUUUGAGAUCCACUCUGUCUUUCCUGUCUUAUCUCCAUUAUAUAAGGAGAAAAGCUGCCUUGGAAAAGGUAGAGCUGUAACUUUCAGAAAUGCACUGUAAUUGGCAGCAGUUGUGCCAGCCUGCUAUGAAAAGAAAGCCCAUGAACGAGGUAUUUCAAAUCAACUGCAACAACAAAAAGAAAAGAAAUGAAUAUUUACCCUUGUAAUCAGUUAAAAUUAAAAGGUUCCUGGUUUUUAGCCAUAAAAUAAAAAGGAAUAAAGAAAAAGUAGAUUUGAAUAUAUAAAGUUUGUAUUUAAAUACAGCAAGCAAAACCCCGACAGAAAAACGGGCAAAUAAUGUGAAAAUAUAUUUAAAUAAACAGUAUGAACAUAAAUGCAUACUCAAUAUGUUUACACAACAAAGAACACAAGUUUUCCCUUCGGUAGUUGGCAAGAGUCAAAAUAAGAGGAUUUGAAACAUGAAAGGGGCAGUAUCAAGCCCCUUUUUGCCACAGCACAGCAACCCCGACUCGCCCCACAACCAGAGCCCAGAACCGGGAUAAGCAGGCGGAGGAAGCGGAAGGCGCGAGCGCAUUUGGGGAUUGUAGUCCACCGAGCUACCACGGGGGAUGCGAGCCGGCCUGAGUCAUCGAAGCGAGAGACGCUGUGCAGCGGUAGCGGAAGGAAAAGCUCGGCAGGGUCGCGGCGCGACUGGGGAACUGAGCCCGCGUGUGCGCACGCGCCAAGAAGAGCGCACUGCGCAUGCUCCCUGGCCAGUUGAAAGUCCCGUAACUACCCGUUCUCCGCGUUUUCCCCGCUUGAGACCCAUCCUGGGUCUUGAGAGAGCGGCGCGUUAUUGUUGUUCAGGGGAUUGUCAAAGUGUAAGGUGAAGAGAGACUAAUAAGCCAAGUUCAAAACAACUUUAUAAGAUCUUUACUAUCCGCAGAAGGCGAAUGUCGCUGUGACGUGACGCAUUAGUCUUGAGCUCCUAGAGGCCGGGGUGCGUCCUACUGACCUGUCCCCAGAACAGCCUUUUCCAGCCACUUCCACUCCCAGAGCCUCCUUGCACCUCAGGCCAUGUCGUCAGGAGUCCCCAGCCCUCUGUAGAGCCUCCGGGGCGUCUGUCAGCGGGCAGAGCCUGCUAGGACCCUCCUGUCAAGGCCAUUUGCUGGAGCCUCAGUGGAGGAGACUGGGCUGUUAAUUUCCGAAUCUGAAAUGACCAGAGCUGUGACCCUUUAUUUUGUAGAGUAAGCACUCAUCAUUUGGCAGGUGAAGAGAGAGUGAAUGUUGGUCCUCAGAGUAAAUUUCCCCCCACGUAGUGUUGUCUCUGCAUGCACAUUCCCUGUGCUAAGGGAAAACGCAGAUUCUAGAGAGUGGGGGAGGAGGAAGCACCCUAAGCAGCAAGAAUAGAUUCUGAGAGGAAACCCCUCUGACCUGAGACCUCUUUCAACAAAUUCAAGUGAGAACCUGGAGAGUUUGGGAAGAGAGAAGACUUUGGAACUCCCGGGUUUGCAUUCUCCCAGGACUUUCUGGCCCAGAAAGAGGGUGACUUGGGAGGAGUUACCACAACCACACAGAGAGUGACAGAGGGAGACAGUAGAGGGAGCUUAAGCCAAAAGGUUGAGUCAAGAGGUGGCAGUUACGGAAGAGUCGAGGGUGGGAAAGGAGCAACAGACCUUUUUGGGUGGGUAAGAGAGAAAACAAUGGCUCAGGUAAGGGGGCUGAUGUCUCGGUGGAGUCAAAUGUUCACUUCCUUCCUGAAGCCUGGACUGCCUGAUGUGGGCUAGUCUGCUCACUGUGGCUUCUUUCUUCCCCACUUGCUCUCUGUCUUCUCCACACUUUCCCCAGAGAAGGAGACCCUGACCCAGUUCCAGAUGAGUUGAUUUUUUUUCUCCUGAAAUUCUAAUUAGUCAGAGUUGUCUGAUCUUUGCUCCUGUUUAGAAAAGAGAAACUAGAUGAGCAUUUAUUGAGCGUCUAAUGUCUGUCAGUUACUUUUAGACGCUUUAGUGGUUCCUGUAUUUAUAUCUCAGAGGACCUGCAAACAUAUGUGAGUAUUUCCAUUAUGAGGGUGAGGAAAAUCUCUCAGAGAUAACAAAGGAAGUGUUCAUGGUCACAAAGUGUUAAAUUAUAAUUAGUAAUCAUUUUCUGGGAAAAUAUUUUGAGGCUAUGUAAAUCUCUUGUUGUUUGUCAAAAUUUCAUUCAAUACCUAUAACACUCAUUGAUGAUUCCUGCAUAAACCAGUCAUUACUACAAUAGCUGAAAAAUGGUGAUGUUGCAACUGUAUUACUUUUUGUUUUUAUGUUUCUCUUUUUUUAUGUAAUGAAGAGCUUUCCCUGCUACUUCAUUUAUUCAUAUAUUUAUAUCCGGAGAAAGUCAUGGAUCUUUAUUUUGCUCAAUGUGUCAUUCUUGAAUAAAUUAUCAUUUUUGAUUUUCAUGCUGAAAUUAUCUAGAUUUGUGCUGUAAGAG